rnacentral:rRNA from 1 species
UACGGGGGGGGCAAGCGUUGUUCGGAAUUACUGGGCGUAAAGGGCUCGUAGGUGGCCAACUAAGUCAGACGUGAAAUCCCUCGGCUUAACCGGGGAACUGCGUCUGAUACUGGAUGGCUAGAGGUUGGGAGAGGGAUGCGGAAUUCCAGGUGUAGCGGUGAAAUGCGUAGAUAUCUGGAGGAAUACCGGUGGCGAAGGCGGCAUCCUGGACCGGCAUUGACGCUGAGGAGCGAAAGCUAGGGGAGCAAACGGG